GUUGCUGCUGUUGAAAGAAGAGUUCCGUCCAAUAGAUUAUACGUCACACUAUCAGCAUUGUAACACUAUCACCAGUGUAACAACACAGAGUGGUUUAGGACUUAGUUGUAACUUGUAACUUAGUUGUAGUCACAAUCUGGUUACCUACAAGCAGUUAUGUUUUUGAAUUAUUACAUAUUUCUUAAUUUAUUUCUGAAUAUCUUCUAAACUACCCACAAUGCACCUUUUCCACAACGUAAUAUGGAUGAUCUACUCUGUGCUGCGGAGUUUGUAUGCUGGUUUAGUAUCAAGCUCAAGCUUGCAAACGUAGCCACAACUCGUGCUUUUCAUGAACUGUGUGGUUGUGUUAUCUAGUGGGAACUCGUUAGCACUGUAGGCUCUGGUGCCUUCUUGCCAUGGGCUCAAAAUAAAAGCCUUCCUCUCCUCUGAUGACCCAGUGAGGGUGAAGCUCAGAGAGCUGUUGAGGGACUGGUUAGGAAGAACACUUCUACAGCCAGAGAGGUGAGAGGUCACACAUGGUUUAGAUGGUAAAUAUUUAUGUUCCCUUAGCAGUUCAUUACCUAAGCAAAAGGGAAUAUGUUCCAUCAGCUAUGUUUAUUUACAUUAGUGCAAAUUGUCCACCGAUAUGGGUGUAAUUUCUCACCCCUCUUGGCUGUAUGAAAGUUAAUUUCUCUUCAGGCACACACAUUUGUUCUUUGAUAUUAUGAAGGUCAUUUGUGUCAAAUGUAAUUUUCCCCACAUCUCUUUACAUUGCUUAUGCAUAUUCGGUGGCCAGACUCAAAUUCCGAACGCAAUGCCCAUCCUGACAGAUAUUAACCUAAUGCAGCUUGGAGUGAUCAGAUGACAGAAGUCACAUUUUUGCUUAUCCCAGUCUGCUGUUCCCACAUGCUUCAAGAGGGCCACCAUUGUUCCUGUUCCCAAGAAAUCUAAGGUAACUGAGCUAAACGACUACCGCCCCGUAGCACUCACUUCCGUCAUCACGAAGUGCUUUGAGAGACUAGUCAAGGACCAUAUCACCUCCACCCUACCUGACACCCUAGACCCACUCCAAUUUGCUUACCGCCCAAAUAGGUCCACAGACGAUGCAAUCUCAACCACACUGCACACUGCCCUAACCCACCUGGACAAGAGGAAUACCUAUGUGAGAAUGCUGUUCAUCGACUACAACUCAGAAUUUAACACCAUAGUACCCUCCAAACUUGUCAUCAAGCUGGGACCCUGGGUCUCGACCCCACCCUGUGCAACUGGGUACUGGACUUCCUGACGGGUCGCCCCCAGAUGGUGACUAGUCGGAACUAGAAGCACAAGCAUUUCGCUACACUCGCAUUAACAUCUGCUAACCAUGUGUAUGUGACGAAUAAAUUUGAUUUGAUAUUUAGGUGCCAGGUGUAACUGAGGCUGUAGAUGCUCCAUAUCCAUUACUUUGUGUUUUAUAUAAUAUGACUAAAUGUGUUUCUGUGUUGCAGGGGCAGUCAAGAAAUGGAACGGCAAGGCCACAGAACAUGACAUAAUCAGAGCUGUGGGAGACCACCUCAAGCCCCUGGUAGAGCCGGGGGUGGUGUUUACCACUCCUUCAGCAGGCUUGAAACGUGGGAUUGAUACUGUUUGAGCCAUUUGUUUGUUUCCGUUUUCAGUAGUUGAACGCUUUUACAUGGGAUUGAUACUGUGAACUGUGAAGGACCUCGGCGUUACUCUGGACCCUGAUCUCUCUUUUGAAGAACAUAUCAAGACCAUUUCAAGGACAGCUUUUUUCCAUCUACGUAACAUUGCAAAAAUCAGAAACUUUCUGUCCAAAAAUGAUGCAGAAAAAUUAAUCCAUGCUUUUGUCACUUCUAGGUUAGACUACUGCAAUGCUCUACUUUCCGGCUACCCGGAUAAAGCACUAAAUAAACUUCAGUUAGUGCUAAAUACGGCUGCUAGAAUCCUGACUAGAACCAAACGAUUUGAUCAUAUUACUCCAGUGCUAGCCUCCCUACACUGGCUUCCUGUCAAGGCAAGGGCUGAUUUCAAGGUUUUACUGCUAACCUACAAAGCAUUACAUGGGCUUGCUCCUACCUAUCUCUCUGAUUUGGUCCUGCCGUACAUACCUACAUGUAUGCUACGUUCACAAGACGCAGGCCUCCUAAUUGUCCCUAGAAUUUCUAAGCAAACAGCUGGAGGCAGGGCUUUCUCCUAUAGAGCUCCAUUUUUAUGGAACGGUCUGCCUACCCAUGUCAGAGAAGCAAACUCGGUCUCAACCUUUAAGUCUUUACUGAAGACUCAUCUCUUCAGUGGGUCAUAUGAUUGAGUGUAGUCUGGCCCAGGAGUGGGAGGGUGAACGGAAAGGCUCUGGAGCAACGAACCGCCCUUGCUGUCUCUGCCUGGUCCAUUCCCCUCUUUCCACUGGGAUUCUCUGCCUCUAACCCUAUUACAGGGGCUGAGUCACUGGCUUACUGGGGCUCUUUCAUACCGUCCCUGAGGAGGGGUGCGUCACUUGAGUGGGUUGAGUCACUGAUGUGAUCUUCCUGUCUGGGUUGGCGCCCCCCCCUUGGGUUGUGCCAUGGCGGAGAUCUUUGUGGGCUAUACUCGGCCUUGUCUCAUGAUGGUAGGUGGUGGUUGAAGAUAUCCCUCUAGUGGUGUGGGGGCUGUGCUUUGGCAAAAUGGGUGGGGUUAUAUCCUUCCUGUUUGGCCCUGUCCGGGGGUGUCCUCGGAUAGGGCCACAGUGUCUCCUGACCCCUCCUGUCUCAGCCUCCAGUAUUUAUGCUGCAGUAGUUUAUGUGUCGGGGGGGCUAGGGUCAGUUUGUUAUAUCUGGAGUACUUCUCCUGUCCUAUUUGGUGUCCUGUGUGAAUUUAAGUGUACUCUCUCUAAUUCUCUCUUUCUCUCUCGGAGGACCUGAGCCCUAGGACCAUGCCUCAGGACUACCUGACAUGAUGACUCCUUGCUGUCCGUAGUCCACCUGGCUGUGCUGCUGCUCCAGUUUCAACUGAUCUGCCUUAUUAUUAUUGGACCAUGCUGGUCAUUUAUGAACAUUUGAACAUCUUGGCCAUGUUCUGUUAUAAUCUCCACCCGGCACAGCCAGAAGAGGACUGGCCACCCCACAUAGCCUGGUUCCUCUCUAGGUUUCUUCCUAGGUUUUGGCCUUUCUAGGGAGUUUUUCCUAGCCACCGUGCUUCUACACCUGCAUUGCUUGCUGUUUGGCGUUUUAGGCUGGGUUUCUGUACAGCACUUUGAGAUAUCAGCUGAUGUACGAAGGGCUAUAUAAAUCAAUUUGAUUUGAUAACUAGUCGUUUCCUCAUUAGCAGGGAGGAGUUUCUGCAAUCAAAUUGUGUGUGCAUUGCCCUCGUGGCGCAAUUUUACUAAACACAGAAGGGGCCUAUAUUGGAGACCAAAAGUCGUCUGGUACAGUGCUUAGGAUUUCAACAACUUGAAUAACAUAUUUCUAGCCUACAAUCAUUGAUGUUACUACUAAUGUGAAGACAAAUUUAGACUAUUCUUUCUCAUUUUAACAUUCAUUACAGAUGUCAAUUGUUGUACAACAUCAUGGCUACGCUUUUGGUAUCAACUUUUACAGUGUAUUUCUGCUGUUGUGGGCCUUUAACCAUCUGUAUGACUUUGUUGUUGACACAGGAGAUAGACAUGACUAUUGUGGAUCCUCUGGGGAGCCUCAACAACCUCAUGAUGCUGAAGAGGCAGAGAAGAGUCUCCAGAUUAGAACACCUCAGGAAACACUAGCGGAGACCCACAGGGAAGAGAACUCACUGCUGCUCUGACUGUGGGAAGAGAUUCACCUCCUCAUCAGGCAUUAAAAUUCAUCAGAGAAUCCAUACAGGAGAGAAACCUUUUAGCUGCUCUGACUGUGGGAAGAGUUUUCUUUUCUCAGGACAAUUAAAAUCUCACCAGAGAACACACACAGGAGUGAAAACGUAUUGCUGUGAUCAAUGUGGGAAGAGUUUUGCUCAGCCACCCAUCCUGAUAUCACACCAGAGAACACACACAGGAGAGAAAUCUUAUAGCUGUAAUCAAUAUGGGAUGAGUUUUACUCAGCCACACACACCCUGAUAUCACACCAGAGAACACACACAGGAGAGAAAUCUUAUAGCUGUGAUCAAUGUGACAAGAUCUCUGAUAAAAUAUAUCUGAUUAAUAAACAUCAGAAAAUACAUGCAUGAAAGAGUUGUUUCAUUAUAUCAAUUAAAUAAUGUCACAAUGUAGAAUGUUUUAACAUUGUAGAAUGAGUAUUUGGGUGCUGAUUGUCUCAAGGGUGGGCAGUCAACAAGUUUUGUGUUUUGUAUUUAGCCAGUGCAUUGCCAUGGAUCACAAUUUAUUUUGACUGCAAGUUUUUCUGUUUUGGUGAUGAGUUUUGUUUGGCUCAUUCCAAGGGGAGGAGAGGUCUAGAAGCUAGUUACUUUUAGGAAGAAGUUUAUCAGAACUAUUUUUAGGAUUCUAUAGAAAGAAAAAGGAGAAAAAAAUUAAACUAUUGUAUAUUAUUAUUUAGAAAUACGUGUUUUUGUUUUUAAUUGUUGACAGCCAGUAGACACCAUGUUUAUAUUGUAGAAAGUGAAGCAUUGUAGUCAAUUAUAAUGUGAAAUGGAAGUUGUUUUCUGUUGGCGGUGAGCAAACUUGUCCAACAAAAAUAUAGGAUAUAUUUGUUGUCUUAAGGGGGAAGGUGUUUCAGGCUUUGGUUUUUUUCAUUUAUGUUUUGAGGUUGGACUUUAGCACGUAUAGCUCGUUAGCAAGUAGGCUGCACUCAUUGGUGUCACCUCGUUAGUCAGAAUGUGUUACACCUGUGCUCCCUUGUCCAUCUCGUUGAAUAUUGCAUCCAAUUGUUAAUAUUUUAUUUUUUAAUUUUCAUUGUUUAUUAUUUGUUUUUUUCCUGUGAAGCCAUUGUGUUGCAUCCAUGUCUGACAUGUGCUAUAUAAAUAAAACUUGAUUUGAACAUA